rnacentral:rRNA from 1 species
ACUCCUACGGGAGGCAGCAGUGGGGAAUAUUGGGCAAUGGGGGCAACCCUGACCCAGCGACGCCGCGUGAGGGAAGAAGGCCUUCGGGUUGUAAACCUCUUUUGUAUGGGAAGAAGGACGUGACGGUACCGUACGAAUAAGUCCCGGCUAACUACGUGCCAGCAGCCGCGGUAAUACGUAGGGGACGAGCGUUGUCCGGAAUUACUGGGCGUAAAGGGCGCGCAGGCUGUGCUGCAAGUCAGCU